rnacentral:rRNA from 1 species
UACGGGGGGGGCAAGCGUUGUUCGGAAUUACUGGGCGUAAAGGGCUCGUAGGCGGCCAACUAAGUCGGACGUGAAAUCCCCAGGCUCAACCUGGGAACUGCGUCUGAUACUGGAUGGCUUGAAUUCGGGAGAGGGAUGCAGAAUUCCAGGUGUAGCGGUGAAAUGCGCAGAUAUCGGGAGGAACACCAGUGGCGAAGGCGGCACUCUGGGCCGGAACUGACGCUGAGGAGCGAAAGCGUGGGGAGCGAUCCGG